rnacentral:misc_RNA from 1 species
CCGAACUGUCAACACGAGUUGUUGCUGGUCCUCAGAUGGGGGCAUGUGCACGCUCUGUUUACACAUCCACUCACACCUGUGCACCCUCUGUAGUUCUGUGGCGUGGGGGACUCUGUCCCCCCCGCUGUGGUCCUACGUUUUUACACACACUCUGUGACACAAAGUCUUAUGGAAUGCAUGACGCGUUUAACGCAAUACAAUA